GAAUUGCCUAAUCUGGGCCAUUUUUGAGAGUGAGAGGAACAAUUUGUAAUUAUGCUCACGCCAUAGGCAUGAGGCAGACUUUCCCAACAAAUCCAGGCACAUGGUUAGUUACCUUAAAAUGGAGCUAUGCAUGGUGAAUAUUGUCGAAAACAGAUGAGAGGCAAAGCUGUGGUUGGAAAUGGUGACACGGAUCAGGGAAGAUUAGACAGUAAUGUUUACUACUUUCUGUCUUGUAUUACGUUUGUUUAUACACACAUCUUUUUUUUCCACCAGAUUUAAGAAGUUUGAAAGAGGGUUCCAUGUUCUAUUCAUCAUCUAAUUUCCCACAGUGCUCACAAAACAACUUCAUGGGGAAGACACAACAUUUUGACAAAGAGAGAAGAGAUUUGGCCUCCUCAUCUUUUCCCAGGUGCCCAGGAGGGAUCAGCUACCCUGUUGGGAGAAGCCCACCUUCCCCUCUCUCAGGGUGUGAACAAAACCUGUUCUGUGUGUAACAAGGCAUCCUUCUUUAGGAUUCCACAGACAUCAUACUGAAAGAGACUAGCAAGUAACUGAGGUUAGAGAAAAGAGGUCAUUCUGUCAAAAUGAAAUGUAUGCCCUCCAGCAAUCAAACCUUGAGCCUGGGUAUCUGGCUCAUGUAGACUGAGUUCAAAGCCUGACUGUGUUAAUAACUUUUGACAAGCAACUUGACCUCUUUAUGUCUUAGUUUUCUCAUUUGUAAAAUGGCAACAUUAGUACUGAACUCAUAGAGAUGUUGUAAAUAUUAAAGUAUAUAAAAUGUCCAGCAUGUAAG
rnacentral:lncRNA from 1 species